UUAUUAGGUUUUGUCUGAUUUAACUCUUUUUCCUUCUGCUUCAUGAAUUCCUUGGUUUUGUCAUUCUUCUCGAUAUUUCCUCUGCAAUUUUCACUCUUCAUCCACCCUUGCUCCUCCUGCACUUAUCUGCUUUUCUUAUUGCUUCUUGAUCAAUACAAGACGAAUGUUUGAAGCGGAAAAAUCGUCCUUCAAAGAGCAACUUCAAGCGAUUUUUAGGAGCGAUGAAGUGAAGAUGGUUCAAUUUUUGCAGGCAGUUGAAGAUGGAGAUGAGCAUUUUCAAGUUCGGUUGAUUGAUUUAGUUUAUUAAUCUUUCAAAGUUUUGAUCUUUUCUAAAUUUUGAAGCUGAAAUUUUGUUUUUUGGGGAUGGAAAUUUUGAGUAGAAUUUGUGGUUCAUUUUUACAGGUUUCCCGUCUUAAAUUUAAGGUUCAGGGUCUAUUUUGUUGAAUUUUCUUGCUAUUUCAUGUUGGGUUUUCGGUUUUAUUUGUUUUAGUUUUGUGGUAUUUUCUAUUUGAUUUUGGUAUUGUUCUGUGUUCAUUUGUUUUAAUUGAAUUUACAGAGUUUUCUUUCCAACUCUACUGAUUAUUAUGGUAAAUUUAUGUCCUAAUAAGUCUUCUAAUGGCUUUGAUGCUAACUAUAGACUAAUUAUACAUCUAUGUGUUUUCAAUCUCGAUCUGCCAUCAAAUUAUGAGAAGCUUUACAUCUUUAUUGUCGGCUAAUCCACGAGUAAUAUAAUUACUCUUCAAAUUACAUAAAUUGAUAUGGGUUUAGUUCAUCUUUCUUAAAUUUGAAGAGUAAUAUUGGUUCAUCUUUCUUAAAUUUGGAGUAAUUUAUGUCAUGAAGGAAAACUAUGUCAUUCUAAUUUAUUUUUAACUUUGGUUUUUGAAACAAAAGAUUUAGUUCAUCUUUCUUAAAUUUGAAGAGUAAUAUGGGUUUAUCUUUCUUAAUUUUGGAGUAAUUUGUGCCAUGAAGGAAAUGUCAUUCAAUUAUGGUUGAUUUAGGUUGAGAGCUUUGGUUCAUUUCUUUUAUAUUAAUACAUUGUUUUGAUAUGUUUUUUAGUGUUUCUUCAAAACUAACUCAAUGAUUUAGGUUAAUUUUUGUGUAUUAUUGAAUUUUCUUAGGGGUUUGAUGUAAAAAACAAGUCAAUUUUUUGUUUUUAUCUUACAUACACAUUGCUUUUGGAUAACCGGAGGAAACUUUUGGAACGAUUAAAGAAUAGUUAAUAGCCAUUGCACCAACAUUGUAGAAGUUGUGUAAACAAAAGGAGCAGAGGUUGAAAGACUUCUCUGAUAGGGCGAUGAUUUUUAGAAUUUAAAUUUAUCUUUUUAAAUUUUGUUUAAUUUAUUGGUAUUUAUUUUGUCUUUUUGUGAUGAUUUACAAAUUACGGUGAUUGAUUAGGAAUUUUUGCAAUUAUAAGACUAACAUUUCAGAAGUUACAUGAUUAUAGGCAAUCAGUUGUUUGCAAUAUCCAACAAUAUUAGCGGACAAUGAUAACUUUAUAAAACAAAUAUACUUCAUUUGUAUGAAAUAUCACCAAAUGAGAUUAGAACGUCAAGUAUCGUUCCUCUAUUAUUGGUCCACAAGCACCAAUUGGAUCACCACGUAUGCUAGUACGAAAUAAGAAAUACUAACACUCUUAUUUCUUUUAAGGUGGAGAAAGGUAGAGAGAAAUGGCACACAAGCUUAUGAAAAUGAUGAGCAAAGUGCAUCUAUUUAUACACAAAUGCAACACCUCUUCACAUACCCAUUUGAUGGUUACAUAUAACAUUUACAUGUAAUAAUCAAAAUGAAUUAAUUUUGUGUUUUAAUUCCCAAUUAAAACAUAUCAUCAAUUCAUACUAAUAACUCCUACAUUAAAAAGUCCAAAGAGCAUCUUAUGCAAUUGGUACUGUUUUAUCCAAUCGGUAACUUAUAUGGGUGACCUCAUAGGACCCGAUUAUAAUAGCAGUAUACUAAUCUAAUUAAUAUACAGAUCAAAGUUGGUUUCUAGCAAAACACUGGGACCACCUAAUAUAAUCAAAUGUAUUAAUCUCCAUAUUAUAUUCUAUUUAUAUUUUAGUAGUUACACUUGAUUAUUAGGACACUUAAUUCCUUCAAAGGUACUCGACUAUUUGAUUCUUUUUCAAUUUUUGUCAUUUCCUUUUGAUGUUGGUAUUUGUUGAUUUUUAUGCUUAUCAGAUUAUCUAUUUAGGUUAUUUAAUUGGCAAUGUAAUUGAAUGUAGGGAAAGAAAAAUUUGAAAAGAGGAUACGAACUAUACAUAAUGGUAUAAUGCCCUUAAUAGCUCUCCACAGUGCCCUUAACUCAUAGUUCUUAUUAUUUAAUCAUGGUUUGGCUAAGGUAAGCCAUAUUUUAGCUUGUGAUGGGUGUUUUGAAAAGUUUAGUUGUGUUAAUAGUGUUUGAAUUUGUAUAGUACAAAAGAGAAAGAAGAAAAAUGAGGCUAACCUUUGAAUAGAGGAAUAAUCGAUAACGAGUUCUUCUUAAAAUAGAAGUUUAUUAACCUUUUCUUCUUAAGUAGAUUGAAAUUAAACAUAAAAUUUUAGUAGAACUUUUUUUGGGCAAAUUUUAAUAGUUCUUUGAUCAGGUGUUAAUAGUUCUUAUAUGCCUUAGUCUCCUUCUAUCACUACUACUUUAUUUCCUUAAUUACUACUUCCUCCGGAUUCUAAUAGUUGCUACAGUUCCUAUAGCAACAACUGUUCAUCAACUGAUCUUAUUUGAUAUGUAUUUCUCCAUGUAUAAUGUAAAACAUAGUCAUGUGGGAUCUUGUUUGAUUCGUCUUAAUGCAUAUUUUCAUAAUAUUAACUUUUUAGAAUUUUUUAUCAUAUUAAAUUGAAGAUAUCAAAGAUUAAAAUCGUCCAUCGAAUAGCGUAAAAAACAGAAGUGUGACAACUAUUAAAAACCAGAUGAAGUAUUUUAUUAGCUGUAUCUUCAUCUCUAUUCACCUUCAUUUUUUCCUAUUUGAUGCAUAACUCUAUCUAAGCAUGGCCUCAACAUGAAUGUUACUCAAUUUUUAAAUUUGGCCAUUCUUUCCACCUUCGUGAUAGAUGACUUUUGAAUGAAAUUGCAAAGCUAAGUGA